UGCAGAAUCCCGCGAACCAUCGAGUCUUUGAACGCAAGUUGCGCCCGAGGCCACUUGGCCGAGGGCACGCCUGCCUGGGCGUCACGCCAAACACGCUCCCACCCCUCAUCGGGUGGUGGGAUGCGGCAUGUGGCUCCCCGUCUUGCAAGGGGCGGUGGGCCGAAGAUGCGGCUGCCGGCGUAUCGUGCCGGACACAGCGCGUGGUGGGCGANCUCGCUUUACUUACCGCAGUGCAUCCGGCCCAUAGCCGACGUGAUGGCCUUAAGGACCCUAUGAACGGAGCGCAUGACGCUCCGACCGCGACCCCAGGUCAGGCGGGACUACCCGCUGAAUUUAAGCAUAUAAAUAAGCGGAGGAGAAGAAACUUACAAGGAUUCCCCUAGUAACGGCGAGCGAACCGGGAUCAGCCCAGCUUGAGAAUCGGGCGGCCGUGCCGUCCGA
rnacentral:rRNA from 1 species